UACGUAGGGCGCAAGCGUUGUCCGGAAUUAUUGGGCGUAAAGGGCUCGUAGGUGGCCAACUAAGUCAGACGUGAAAUCCCUCGGCUUAACCCGGGAACUGCGUCCGAUACUGGCAGGCUUGAAUCCGGGAGAGGGAUGCGGAAUUCCAGGUGUAGCGGUGAAAUGCGUAGAUAUCUGGAGGAACACCGGUGGCGAAGGCGGCAUCCUGGACCGGCAUUGACGCUGAGGCGCGAAAGCCAGGGGAGCAAAGCGGG
rnacentral:rRNA from 1 species